AUUGAAACGCCUGUUCCCGUACGAUCACCGAAGUUAAGCAAAGUCGAACCUGGUCAGUACCUAGAUAAAUGACCGCUUGUGAAUACUAGAGGAUGUAA